rnacentral:tRNA from 1 species
AUUAGAGUGGCAGAGUCUGGUAAUUGCAAAAGACCUAAGCUCUUUUACCCAGAGGUUCAACCCCUCUCUCUAGU